GAUGAACGCUGGCGGCGUGCCUAAUACAUGCAAGUCGAGCGAACAGACGAGGAGCUUGCUCCUCUGACGUUAGCGGCGGACGGGUGAGUAACACGUGGAUAACCUACCUAUAAGACUGGGAUAACUUCGGGAAACCGGAGCUAAUACCGGAUAAUAUAUUGAACCGCAUGGUUCAAUAGUGAAAGACGGUUUUGCUGUCACUUAUAGAUGGAUCCGCGCCGCAUUAGCUAGUUGGUAAGGUAACGGCUUACCAAGGCAACGAUGCGUAGCCGACCUGAGAGGGUGAUCGGCCACACUGGAACUGAGACACGGUCCAGACUCCUACGGGAGGCAGCAGUAGGGAAUCUUGCGCAAUGGGCGAAAGCCUGAUCGAGCAAUGCCGCGUGGGUGAAGAAGGUCUUCGGAUUGUAAAACCCUUUUAUUAGGGAAGAAAAAAAGUAGAAGUAACUAUGGACGUUUUGACGGUACCCAAAGAGAAAGCCACGGCUAACUUCGUG
rnacentral:rRNA from 1 species